UGCUUCGCUUCCAAGUGAGUUUUCUGUAGUCCAAGCGGGUCAGACUGUCCAUCGACCCGUUUGUACUAUGCAAAGCUUACAGUGAAUCG
rnacentral:pre_miRNA from 1 species